GUCGAAAAUGAGAACAAUGAGCCAGCAUGAGUGAAUCACAUGGUCCUCGCCUUUUCCUGUCCAAGAUGAACUUUCCUCAAGAUCGAUCUUUGGUAAAGUUUGUCCGUUCUUUGACGUGACGCAAAAACGUCAAGCCGCGAGGAAAGAGUGCAUGUCGCAAACCGUACAUGAGAAUCUCAUGGGAUCAGAAACGGUGCAGCUCUCUUGACAGGUGUCCGUCCUGCCAUUGAGCUCCCCGUCAGUGUGAGCUUCAAGCAAUAAGAAGUGAUAGAUUGGGGUUCGAAGACUAUUGCGCAUCACAUCGUACAUUGUCAUCCGAGCAUUGUUAGCGUCUCCCGAUUCGGUGUUCUUUGCAGUGUUUUGUUACGAACUGCAAUCAGGUCGAGCUAGAUUGCUAGUCAUGGCCUCCACCCGCAGCCUCUUCCUGGUGAUGGUGUGCCUCAUUGCCGUGUGCACAAUGGCCGCAGCCGUGCAGGCGGAGCCGAACCAGUACGCGGAGUGCGGGGAGCAAGCCUACGGUGCGCUGUGUCUGUUCGGAGCUUGCUGCAGCAAGGACGGCAUGUGCGGCUUCGAACCAUCUUUCUGCGGCAACGGCUGCCAGAGUGGUCCUUGCGAGAGGAAGGGAGCUAAUUGAAGCAUCAGCAGCACCAGAGUGGGGGAAUAACUCGCUGCAGCACGGUCCGGAGAGUGAUGCUGUGAGGGUUCAUAGUGCGCUUCCAGUGACGCAUGGCGACUGAUGUAGGCUUUUCGUCAGUCGCUGAAGAGUAAUUAGGCUCGAAGACAUGUCUCGAGCUGCUCAUCGUCGCACUUGUGGGAAAGUGCUGCAGAUAGCGCCGUUAGAUAGGUAGUGGCUGUGAGAAAGCCGCUCACUACCUCAUUGUGGAUAGAUCACGAAGUGGUCAUCCUCAAGGUGGUGAUGCAGGUGUAUUGUACCUGACCUUCGAAUUGGCGGAGUGGGUUCUCUCACUUGUGCUCUUUGGACUUCGGAACUUGCUGGUCUCUAUCCUAUGCACUGUCUUCAACUAGUCUAGUAUCUUGUCAUGUGUUGUAGCUGAUUGUCCCCUUCGAUUCCAGCAUUGCAUCUGAAGAUACAAUUCAUUCACCGGACUUCUAUGGGCUCCUCUGGUUUCGUUGCUUUCAUUUGGAGUCUAGACUUAUUAGUGGUUCUUCGCAACGCGAAGGUUUAGGUCAUGGCCGUGGGUCCUAGUCAGUGUCGGUACACUAGAUAGCGAAAUCCAGCAUAGCGUAUUGGCCACCUCAAGCUUCACUUUUCGCAAAUUCGGACAGAAUAACGAAUCACAUUUUUGUAUCAUGUAACGCUCAAGCCCACAUGCACGAACCAGCUGAUAUUGAAGUAUAAAGGUUAAUUCUAUGGGUCAGUUUGAAAGAUUUUUUAAUUUCGUACAUUCAUGAAAAUAUCUCAUUGCAUCCUUGACAAACUCCUUUACAUCAAUCUCUCACUCUUUGUGUUUCACCAGAUUAUGGAAUGUUGACACCAGAAAUACCAUGGCCCACUUGCAACCUACCUUAUUAAUGACGCCUUAUCAAAGAAAGAAAAAGUAAACAAAUCUUUGUCGAACAUGAGAAUUGAUAAGAUAGUAGGUGAACUCGAAAACAUCAUGUGAUAAACAUAUCCCUGUUUUUCUACAUUCCGUUUAGCUUUUACCCAAAGCAAAUACUCAUGAAGAAGCCACAAUAUAUCUCGUAUUAAAUAGCUCAGGGAGAGGGACAAAUACAUGUAACAAGCAAGAAGAAAUAAAUUAUUUGAAUUUAGCAUUACAAAUCAAAUGAGACAUAUGUAAUCACACUAAUAAAUGAUGAAAAAAAUAGAAAAAUCAUAUUUAACUUGAAUUUAAAAACGGAGAUGAUUUGCUAACUUUUUUACUGCUGAAGGAAAAUGGAAAAGAAAUUAAUCAUAUUGAAGAGGAAGGGAAGGAGUAUAAUAUGUAAAAUGUGUUGAGCUUUAUUUACGAGUGAACAAAAUGUUUAGAGGCGACUUCCACUGUUCCAAGGAUGAAUUGGCAUUUGGAACUAAAAUUUUACUCUUUGAAUCUUCUGUGUGCUUACAUGUUAACACAACUAUCUGCAUUCUUAUUACAUCAACUCAAUAUGCCACUUUAUUUUUGUCAAAAAUAUUCUUCAUGAUUUUUUUUUCUAUUCAUCUAAUGAAAUGCUUUUAUGGUGUGCGUAAACAUCAAAAUCUUAUUGCAUACAAAUUGCCAAAAAAUUAAAUUACAUAAAAUAAAUGUGAUGUUUUUGGUAAUCUAUCAAAAUGUAUAAAUAUAUAAAUUUAUAUAAUUAUCAUAUAAUUUUCAGUGUGAUAAAAUAAAUAAAUAUAUGUAUAGAAUGCAUAUAUAUAUUUGUAUGUGUAUAGGAAGUGUUGUAGGACUAUGCCUUAGACGGGAACUAAUCUUGCCUGAGUGCGGCAGAAAUACUUGACAUGUUUCGUGCAUCAUCAUGCUCAGUAUCCAAGAACCUGCUUGAAGCGGACAUGAGAUCUAGUCCAAACCCGUUUGAACAGAUCACGGCGGACACUCAUGAGACGCAACGAGAAACUCAUGCGGCAAACCCUAGCCGCCCAAGAGAUGCGAGUUGACCUCCCAAAGACCUAUCUUUUGAGUUUCCGUUCAUUGAUUUAUAUUGGCGGAAUACAGUUGGUUUGGAUGCCUCAUUCGCCUAAGUAUGGGCGUAACAAGAGCUUAUUGGCGUAGGCAGGAUUAGGGCCAAGCCAGAUCUUAUCCUUGCAUGAGUAGGGCUACUCUCCGUACAAGAUCAAACUGCUAUUCAGUUACUAUUUGAGUCGUGGUUGACGCAUUGCGGGCAGCGAUACAUAGUACUGUUUGAUUGCGUGAUUGUGUCGCGGCUGUGGAUCUCCACGAUACUUCAUGUAUGAAUCGGCGUAACAGGCCUUGAAUUUGCCUUUGCGUUUGCAAUGUUUCUCCACUUGCAAAGCUACUUGAUCACCAAUAUAAAAAGAUAUGGUGUAAUACAUUUUCUUGUCAUAACCUCCUUUUUGCCACAGCUGUACUUUAGCUCGAGUGUUUUCUUUUUUUUGAUAUAAGAGGGUAUCAUCCCAAGCAAGGUAUUGGGGAAGGUGAGACCUAAUUUGCUUCUUCAUUGGAAUGCUCACGUUGGCUGGUAUUGAGCCAGUCAAGCAACUUGCUAGUGGAGCCUCAUACAUCUCGUUCUCCAUGAUGUACUGCGAGUUGUGGAUAAAGCAGCUGACUGUGUGAAGGUAUGGUGAGAAGUGGCUGCCUCAAGGAAUCUCUUCCCUAAAUGCGUUGCUCAGCUGUCCCAACAGGGAGCUUACAAGGUUUCAGUCGCUAAGUAUAGUAGGUGGUCGUGUUACUUGGGAUUACUGUACAUCACCUCGUCAGCUCAUGUGCUGUUUGCUUUGCUGAUCAUGCUCUGUUCUUGUAUUGUGUAGUAUCUCCUGAAGAGAAAACCGAGCAUAAUGUGAUUGAGAGAGUAACGAUUGAGAUACGGGUUGAUUGUGCUAGUUCUUAUAAAAAUAAGAGAGUAAAUUUUGAUUUGAGUGGACAAGAAGUCCAUUGCAAUGUGCUGCUGAGGUACUACGGUGAUGCGUGAGUUACAAAGAGGAGAUUGAUUUAGAUCUGAAUAUCUAGCUAAUGUGAUGUGCGAGUGAUGGGAAUAUAAAUGAUUGACGUAAUCAAAGUGAGCAACCUAGACCUAGUAGAGUGGUUUCAAUGCAGCGGUUGUGGGCGUCGAUGCCUCCUUGGUGGAACACAGGUGGAUGACGUCUUAGAUAUGUUGGUUGUGUGCAUGCUGAGAGGUAGGUUUGCAAACGUUGAAUAUGGCUUGGGGGUUGCAUAGGUGGUCAUGGUCAACACAUCCUCAUCCUUGUGUAUUCUACCCGAUUUGUAAACAAUCUAGUAUUUGUAUGAUUGUAACAGAAGUGCCUAGCAUGCAAGGUGGCCCAUAAGAUCAUGGGAGGUCAUGAGUGCAUGGAAAGGUGCAUGAUCUGUCUCGAAUGUGAAUCGGGAGCUGUGAAAGUAAAGUUAGUAUUUUACGCCGAAUAGUAUUGCUAGCCCUUUUUGAUCAAAAAUAUUGUAAUUUUGCUUGACUUUGGAGAAUCCACUCAAUACGUAGGCCAGGAUGUGUUCAUGAUCAUCAUUGACUUGGCUCAAUAUGGCACCAAUGGAGACUCAAGAAGCAUCUGUUUGGAGUUGAAAGGGUUAGUUGAAGUGAGAGUAGAUAAGUAGGGGCACUGUGAGUUAAAAUAAACCUUCACUAGUUGACUCAAGAAGUUUAUUAAAGUUCACAAAAAGUAAAUUAAUUAUAGAAAUCUUAGAAAUUUUAGUUCUUAUUUAAAUCUUCAUUAAUUUAUACAAAAAACUCUUUAAAUCAUCCAAGUAGUUGAGCAAAAUCUUUAUUACCAACUCAUACUUAUAAUAAUGUCUCUCAACAAAUUCCAAGCAAUCAAAAAAUUGAAUGAUAUGAUUUUAAUUUCAAUUGAAUGUCUAUCUUAAUUUAGUUUCUAUUUAAUUAAAAUUCAUCCAUUGACAAAAUUUCAUCCUUGAAUUAAAUUUCAUCCAAUUUCAAUUGUUCAUCCAAUUUAACCUAAAUAUAACCCUAAUCCUACUUCAUUCAAAGCUAACCUAUGAUUGUCUAACCUUAGCCUCAUCUACUAUAACUUAUCCUAUCCUAGAUUUUAGUCUGUACCUAAUUUCUCACCACGCAAGGGGUAUUCAGUGAAGGGUGGGUGCCGAAUCCUAGUUCACCGCACAGAAGUGGCACUGGAAUAAAAAUAAAAUAAAAAAAACUGCUGCAACUCGUUCGAACAGACCGCAACCACAAUCAAGGGAACCAAAGAAGGCCUGGAGCAAACUCAAAGCAACCGCCGCCUACCACCUUUGACCAACAAUCCAGAACACCCACUAGGGCCGAAGGAAUGGAAGAAUGGUGAUAAGUGCAGGACCAGUGAGAGGGAAGCAAUCCCGAGCCGAUGAAGAUCAGCUGUUGUGUGUCUAUCUCAGUUGUUGUUCCAGAAUUAUAACUUAAAAAUUACACACUUGUCAUGCGCAACAUGGGUCUGUGCUAAGGAACUUCCAAACAAAAAUGACAGAGCAACAAGUGCUACAUGCAGUGCCAAUCAUUCUAUUGUGGUGGACACCAUUUUGGACUGCUUGGGUCCUGGAACGUCGAACCUCGUGAUCAACAGAUCGACCCUGACAAUACCAACUAUCUCCACCUACACUACUUGAACCUGUUCUGAAAAAACUAGAGUUGAUACAAACUCCUCGUGGGAAUGGCUGCACUCACUUACUGUAUCUCCAAUAAGCUCACUUUGCGACACUUCAAGCUGCAUCCGACCUUCCCGAAAUGUACUCGAGGAUACAACAAAAAAAGAACACUUGCUCCUGGACCGCGAGAAGACGAGACUAGCCAGGUUCACGGCACUGCAGUCUCUUCGCUUCUUCGCAAUUCAACGAGGUCAACGAGGAAGGGACCUGAACACGUGCGCGGCCAGCGCAAUUUGACCGCCGCACGUGUCAGAAUAGAGUGGAACCAACAAACAACCAAAACCCUGGGCAGCAGUGCCUUGUCGACAGCCUACGCUCCAUGUCGCCGCAUUGCACUUCUCCGAGCUUCGAACUAUAAGAGAAAACAAGAAGAAAAAUGAAGGACUGCAACCGAAGCUCCACCACCGCUCCAACUGCAAUUUCUCAAACUCCAAUACCGCCGUACUCAACCGCCAGCAUACAACCAAGGCACGCAACCAGGGAGGAAUUCGAUGUCGAAGGAGAAUCCACACAAACCAAGGCACGCAACCAGACUCGAUGCGAUUCUAGUCGCAGUCAACGUCAAUCGCAGCACACAGCCGCCACAGCAAACAUACGAAGGGCUAGCUUCUGCGCACCCCAAAAGAGAAGAAAAAACCAAAAACAAAAUGCAAACCUAAUUGUAACACAAAAAACGAAGAUAAAGACGUAGCAGA
rnacentral:lncRNA from 1 species